UAGGAAUCAGCCGGUUCUUAUGAUCUGUCCU
rnacentral:piRNA from 1 species